AUGUUUUGGCAAAGGAAGAUGAAGGAGAAGCAGUCUUUAAAUACACACACUCCAAGAGGCAGUCUGAGAAAAGAACAUUGCUUUUGAGCUAAUGCGAAGAGGAAGAGUAAAUGUGGGCAGUCAGUGAGAGCAAACGGAGAGCAAACCAGAAUUUUGGAGCCUUUUCCAGCUGUGACGCAAGCUUCUGGUUGGCCUGGGGUGGCUAGGAAAGAAGAGGGAAAGGACUCCACAGGAUCUUUGGGCAGACUCAUUUGUAGUGGCUACUGGAGGCUCUGAAUCACGGUACUAUACCAGCAUCUAACUGACCCUCCCAGCAACACAGUUUCGUUGAACGGUCAGCAGCCGUGAAGAGAAUGAA